rnacentral:lncRNA from 1 species
GCAGAGACGGCGCUCGAGAACAGGGCCUCCACCCGGCCGGUCCGGCUGCCCCGCCUACUCGGUACCAGGGCUCCUGGUACCAGUGGGCCACCACAAGCCUGAAAUGACGUAAGGGUGGGAGGGCUCUGAGCCUGCCAGGGGCCAUUGAGAUCACGCAGAAGUUCCCAAGCAUCACGUCAGCACAUUCCGGGCCUGACCGAAAGGCAAAGCAGUAGAUGAAAGGAUCCUGUAGCCCCCUGGACACCUUUUUCACAAGUUGACAUCAAAAAUGUAAAGCAUCUUCAUCAUCUGUUUUUUAACCAUGUGCAUCACAAAGAGUUUAAAUUCAGUGGAGGUUUGUAACCCCAGCCUCCAGCCCCAAGAGAACGGAAGGGAGACACUGAGUCGAGGGAGGCUUCGCAGCUACCAGAGACGGGCGAGGACCCACCAGCAUCCAUUUAGGGUCUGUCCUCCCCUUUGGACUCCCUCUUCCUUCCUCCCCCCAUGGAUGUCACUUGUGUGGCUCUCCAUCCCCACACGAGGACAUGGGGUCCAUUCCUCUCUCUGUCCUCAUGUCAGAAUCUGCCCUCUCUAUAAUUCCCCUCUGACGGAGCAGCCGCCAUGUCGCUCACUCCCCGCAGGUGCUGCUGGGCAAGGGACACGAAUGCACAGAUCUGACGGAGCAGCCGCCAUGUCGCUCACUCCCCGCAGGUGCUGCUGGGCAAGGGACACGAAUGCACAGAUCUGACGGAGCAGCCGCCAUGUCGCUCACUCCCCGCAGGUGCUGCUGGGCAAGGGACACGAAUGCACAGAGAUCCCGCCCCCAGGAGCUCUGGGUCUGGUGUGGGCCACAGAGAAGCAAAAAGGUGAAAAUUAGAGGGACGGAUUUAUUCAUAGUUGCCAAAACCUGGAAGCAACUGAGGUGCCCUUCAGUAGGUGAGCGGAUAAACAAACUCUGGUCCAUCCAGACAAUGGAAUAUUAUUUGCAUUAAAAAGAAAUGAGCUGUAAAACCAUGAAAAGACCUGAAGGAAUCUUAAAUGCAUAUCCCCCCGUGAAAGAAGCCAAUCUGAAAGGCUGCAUGCUGUGUGAUUCCUGCUCUAUGAUAUUCCGGGAAAGGCAAAACUAUGCAGACAGGAAAAGAUCAAUGGUUGCUCUGGGUUGGGGGUGAGCGAUGAACGGGUGGAGCACAGAGGAUUUUUAGGGCAGUGACACUACUCUGUAGGAUACUAUGAUGGUGCACACAUGUCAUUAUACAUCUGUCCAAACCCAUAGAAUGUACACCACCAUCAGUGACCCCUGAUGUCAACUAUGAACUUUGGUUAAUAGUAAUCUAUCAAUAUUGGGUCAUCAGUUGUAACAAACACACCACACCAAUGCAAGACGUUAAUAACAGGGGAAAUGGAGUAGGGAGGGCAGUGAAGGGGCAGGAGAGAGAGUAUAUGGUAACUCUCUGUAUUAUCUGCUCCACUUUCUGGAGACCUAAAACCGCUUUAAAAAAUAAAGUCUGUUAAGGAAAAAAAUUAGAGGGAUGG